CGUCAUGGGGAUUUGGCAGCGUUUGCUGCUUUUUGGUGGAGUGUCGCUCCGGACUGGUGGCGGGGCCACUGCCCCGCUUGGGGGAAGCCGAGCGAUGGUUUGUGGGCGCCAGUUGUCUGGCGCCGGGAGUGAAACCCUAAAACAAAGAAGAACACAAAUCAUGUCCCGAGGACUUCCAAAGCAGAAACCGAUAGAAGGUGUUAAACAAGUUAUAGUUGUGGCUUCUGGAAAGGGUGGAGUCGGAAAAUCUACUACUGCAGUGAAUCUUGCACUUGCACUAGCAGCAAAUGAUUCGUCCAAGGCCAUUGGUUUGCUAGAUGUGGAUGUGUAUGGACCUUCAAUUCCAAAGAUGAUGAAUCUGAAAGGAAAUCCGGAAUUAUCACAGAGCAACCUAAUGAGGCCUCUCUUGAAUUAUGGUAUUGCUUGUAUGUCUAUGGGCUUUCUGGUUGAAGAAAGUGAGCCAGUAGUUUGGAGAGGCCUUAUGGUAAUGUCGGCCAUUGAGAAAUUGUUGAGGCAGGAGGAGAAGUUUGUUAAAAAGCUUUAGAGCAGGAGGAAAGAAAAGUGCAUUUGGAAG
rnacentral:sRNA from 1 species